GAGAGAGUGCUGCUGCAGUGCACAAGUAGUUAUUUGUGGAGGCUCUGUAUGAAAAAGCUGGUCAUUUCCUCUCCUUCAGUAACAAGCUCGAUAGCCAUCUAAUCGUGUAUGGUAGGAGUGUAACUGCCUACUUCCCACUAUAGCCACAAGAUAGCAUUUUAUUUCUGGUUCAUCUAGCUGUUUGGUCUGUUGUGUCCCUGAGGAUAAUUAGUCCUGAACACAGGGAAAGUACUUAUCUUGCACCAGGGAUAUUCUGUCAAAUACCUCCUCACACAAAAACUCAUUUAAAAGGAUAAAAAACACUACCUCAGGAAUUGAAUACAUCUGCGGGCUUCUAGUCACUUCCAGCAGGUGACAUAUCUGAAAUCACAGAGCCUCACUUUGGUGACUAGGUAGGAGCCAAUUAGCUUCAUUUUGAACUGGGAAAACUGCAUCAUGACAGCCUCCAAGGAGCAAGUCCUAUCUGUUGUAAACAAAUCUGAUUUGCUCUGUUUUGCUUCCCCACAAAUACUGCACAUCGGUUACAGAUAAAGUUGCUUUACAGGGUAAGCCCCCACCAUCACUGAAAACAGGCAUUGUUUUUCUUCUCCCCAGGAGAGGAAGAAUAAAUGUGACAGUUCGCAGUCACCACUGGUAGUGGCUGGAAACUAAACUCUCUCACCAGAAGUUCUCCCCAAGGCUUCUUUAAAUAUUCCAUGACUAGCUAUGUCCAAAUGCAUUUCCCAGAGGAUCAAAGUACAUUUUUCUUUCACUUGACAGAAGGCACUGAGUUGUUGCUAUCAGUUUGCUCUUACAAUCCUUUUGCAUCACCCGCUCACAGAAAUAAACAUUCUUUGAGGUUUUUCCUGAUGCAGUAACUGACCAUGCCACCACGGCUUUAUUUUGGCCAUAGACGCCUGUGGCAUUUCUGCAAGAGGACAAGCAUCUCGUUCAGACCCCAUUAAAAGAGAGCUCAGUUCUUACAGCAGUUUGACAAGUCUGAUAAAGAGAAAGAAAACCAAAUUACUAGGACUUGAAAUAUAAAGUAGAUGAACCAAUCUAGAGAUGCUGCAUGAAAGAAGGUGGAUUUUUUUCUGGACAAGGAAUGACUUGAGAGCAGCCCUGAGGAGAAGGAUUUGGGGGUGCUGGUUAAUGAAAGACUGAACAUGAGCUGGCUAUAUGCACUUGCAGCCCAGAAGGCCAACUGUGUGCUGGGUUACAUUAUGAAAAGAAUGAAAGAAAAGCAAGGAAGAUGAUUCUGCCCCUCUACUCUGCUCUUGUGAGACCCACCUGGAGUACUGCAUCCAAUUCUGGGGCCCUCAACACAAGACAGACAUGGAGCUGUUGGAGUGGGUCCAGAGGAGGGCCACAAAGAUGAUCAGAGGGCUGGGACACUUCCCCUACGAAGAGAGGCUGAGAAAGUUGGGACUCUUCAGCCUGCAGAAGAGAAGGUUUGGGAGACCUUACAGCGGCCCUUCCAGUAUCUGAAGGGGGCAUACAGGAAAGCUGGGGAGGGACUUCUUAUAAGGGCAAGUAGAGACAGGAUGGGGGGAAAUGUCUUUAAACUGGAAGAGGGUAGAUUUAGACUAGAUAUUAGGAAGAAGUUAUUUACGGUGAGGGUGGUGAGACACUGAAACAGGUUGACCAGCAAGGCUUUGGUUCCCCCCCUCCCUGGAAGCCUUUGAGGCCAGGCUGGAUGAGGCUUUGAGCAACCUGGUCUAGUGAAAGGUGUCCCUGCCUACAGCAGGGGCUUGGAGCUAGGUGAUCUUAAAGGUCUCUCCCAGUCCAAACCAUUCUAUGAUUCUUUGAUAGUCACUUCAGCAGUUGAAAAAGAAAUUUUUUGGUUUAAGUCCACCAUCUUUCCACCAGGCCUACUGCUAUCCAUGUCAGUAUUUUUUUCCCCACUUAUGAAUGAAUUUCUCCUUUUACAUGUAAAUAAGAGACUGACCUAUACAGAGUAGGUAAAUCAAGAAGCGUAUUAAGAUGUUCCACCUGUCCCAAAAUACUCCGGCAUGCUACACAUGAGCUGAUACUCACUUUCAACUUUAAAGUUGCUGAGACUGGAUAGUGUCCCCCAGAUAUUUUCUAAUAGGAUCCAACGUUUUGCAACAUGCCCAUCUAGAGACCUGAUCUAUCAGGAAAUGAGAUCUGAACACCUAUGUGGCUUUUGUUCAGCACAAGACGGAGCACAAGAGUCAGGAUAUUCUCACUGCCUAAAGCCAGAAAGGAAGCAAGUCGCCUUGUACAACUCCUGGCUGUAUUUUCCAAUUUUCAUUCUUCCCUCCCAUUCAGCUGUCCCAUCAGGUUUGCAUCAGAGCUGGCACGCAUCUGAACUCCCGCCUGGCCCAGCCUUUGUCAUUAUGCCCUUCAAUGCACAAAGUUCGGUGCGUUUUCCACUCUUCAGUAGGAGGUGCAAGGGCUGGAAAAACUGGCAGUAGAGCACAUAUGCUCCUUUUAUCCCAGCACUUUCCCUUGUGACUGCAUUUACUCUCUCACACGGACUCAGGAUGUUAACUAAACUGACAAGGACUAGAUAGCAGAGAGAGGAAGGAAGGAAGGAAAGCAUCUGCAUUUCCAAUCCAGUGACUGCAAAUAAAGUUCCUCAACUUUUAGAAGUCUCUCAAGCACAGCAUACACAGGGUUUGGAGAAGCCAGGGGCUUCUGAUGAAAGUGCUGUGCUGUUAUUUUCAGUGCCACAGCCAGGCUGGGAUUACGUUUUGGUCUUCUGAGAAAAGGAAGCUGGUUGUCACGUCUACUUCUGCUCUUUUUUAAAACUCUCAAAGAAACUUUGCAACAUAAAAUCACUGAGCACCUACAAAGAAAGCUUUACAAAGGGACACCACUUACUGCCUCAAACUCAGUUUCCAUCACCUCCUGCACAAUUCAUCCAUGCUACACAAAGUCCUAAACAGCACACAUCCUAUCUUUCCCAGUGCAAACAGAUACAUUUUUUUUUUAACUGUAAAGCCAGGCUUUUUGUUUAACACAGUGAAAAAUCACACAUAGCAGGAGCCUGCUGUUAGCAUAACUUACGGUAAUGAAUCAGUUAGCAAGGAGACUGGUGAAAAGAUUGAUUCAUGACAUGAAAAGGGUAACUGGAUCCUUUCUUUUGCCUCCUUAAUUUGCCAACAUACCUGCCCUUACCAGCACCUUUUGAAGCUGUUGCCACAGCACUACUCUUCCUUCUUGGGCUUCAGCAGUGGGUUGAACACAUCAUCUCUUUGCAGACUGCUGAAGAGCUGCAUCACAAGUGAGACUGGAGGUUGGUUGGAAGUCCCUUGAAAUCCAAGCACUUGUGCUCAGGAAGAAUUCACUCCACAUUUCUUCCUUCUUGCUGAAGGCUGGAUGUGCAAAUCCAUCUUAUUUUCACUUGACUCACACUGUGAAGACACAUACUGUGAUGUGGGGUGAUAUUAGCUGUAGAAAAGAAAAAGCUUUAAGACCACUGGGCCUCAAAAUGUGUCAAAACACACCAGGCAUGAGAAUCUGCCAUUUCUCUAUGGGAGGAGGCUGAUCUCCCCACAAAGGGCCAAGCAAGCUGUGCUCCAAGGACCUGCUCUCAUCCACUCAUCCAAACCCACACAGGGGAGCACAGCCAGGAAGAGCCACAGGACCUGCCAUCCCCUGUGCUGCCACCCAGCUCUCUUCCCUCUUGGGGGCUCAGAGCCUGAGCCAAGGUAUUGUUGCCUUUGAGGUUCAUUCUUUUAAAAAACUGACUGACGAUCAAUAUGCGAAAGCUGAGCUGUGCUUUGGGGCUCAGGGAUGGACAGCAAGAGUGCUGGAGCUGGCCUAAGGCAUGCACUGCCUGGGACAGUUGCUCCUUACCUGAGGCUGCACAUUUUGUAACUAAAGUUGGAGGAUGAGUUACCAGGGAGGACUUCAGGGAAGGUGACAGGAAGGAGGACAGCUGGUGUAGCUCCUCUAGAGUAAGCCAUGACUGAAAAGAGAACGGAGGCCCUGACCUGGAUACGGUCCUGGACAACCUGUUCUGGCUGGCCUGAGCAGGGAGUGGACCAAGUGGCCUCCAGAGGUCCCUUUACCUCCAGCAGCCCGUGACUUGGCUUGAUGUGUCCGGAGUGGCACUCCCAUGCCCACAGCCAUCCACUUGUAGCCUUGGGUAAUUUCUUUGCACCAGUGCCUCAGUACUUAAAGCAACACCGAUAACACUUCCAGAACUACACCCUAAAUAGUCUUUGGGACAGAAAUAAAAUUUUGAUUAAGUAGGAAAGCCUUUAUAGGUUAAUUAAAUAACAACUGCUAAACCAUAGCCAACCAGUCAUUAUCUGUGUUUUGAUAUGGACUUAUUACAUAACUGUUAAACUUGGUAUUUAGCAGAUAGCUUCCCUAUUUGAAGGACUAAACAUCUAUUUGAGAUACUUCAUUUUUAAAUGUCACCAUUUCGGUUUACUAGACUUCUUGCUGUGCUUAACACAAACAGUGGGUAUUUAAAGUAAUAACAAAUCAGCUGUCAGCUGGGAGCACUCAGCAGAAGGUAGGGCCUGUCCUGUGACAGCCCUUGCCCUGCUGCUGGGAGAGUCCCAGGGAGGGUCAUGACGCCUCCAGGCCACCCCUCAACUAGCUCUGGACCUUAGGGGCUGAUGGGGAGAAGUAUCAGCACGCCUUCUGAAAAGUGGCUUCUCAGCUCCAGAAGCACCAGCCUGGUUCUCCCAAAUAGUCUUUUACCGCUUCCUGGCAGCAUUCUAUGAAGGGUGACAUGGAGUAGGAUCCCCUGACCAACCGGUGCCAGGCUGUGGCAGGUGCAGGGCCACUAUCUCGCUGCUGCACCCGGAGCUCCUGUGGGCCAUGAACUCCAGCUGCCAUGGGAUGAAAUACUUGCAUGCACCGAACCAAAGACCAUCCCCAACUGCUUUUCAAGCAGGCAUUUUUCUUCAGAGUCUACAUGGAUGGAGAUAGCUUUGCCACCACUCAGUUUCUGCUGUCAUAAUUCUCCUGCUAACAGAUAAGAAACGGUGAAAUGACAUCCUGCCCAAAGAGUCUGAAUGUCUGUACCCACCUGGGGCACGGUCCUGGUACCAAGGCACUACACCCAUAGAGCCUUAUGGCCACAUUAUUUCUCCCUACAUUCAAUUUUUUUGUAAAAGUGCUGUUAUAUUUCUCGGAAGGCUCUUGCAGCUGUUAUCACAUUGGCAAGCAAUGGCUGGGGCCUUCAGCCAUCUCUGGCAACAAAGAGGUUAAGCAUCAGCGAGCCUAGAAGGCUGGCUUUUGAGGGGUGGGUUUAGGAAGCAAAGUUAACAAUAUAAGAAGAGGAAGUGCUGGCCAUCCGUUUGUUUGUUUAUUGUUUCAGCAGUUUGUGCUGUGUGUCUCGUGUGCUAUCUCCAUCCCUCAGUCUCCCAGCCAGUUCAUUAUGCACGGGAAGAGGUGCUUCCUGCCAGCGACCUCCUGGGUCCCCUCCCAUUGUUCGCAGGGCUGAUGUAAAGUGCUGGGGGCGGCAGAAAGGGCUGCAAGCCUGCAAGAAAUACUCCAGAGACCUUCUUCAGUUAAUAAAACAGAUGGCCUUAUUGGCGUAGGCAAAUUUCAACGCUAGCAUUGCAUUUAAUAGGGUUCAUCCAAAGAAAAUCCCAAGAAAAAUAAAGUGAGGAGUUUAGGUUGUCAGAGCCAGAGGGAUAAAUACAGGAGAGACAAGAGGAUGAGCCAUACCUCUGGCAUACCCAGCAGCUCUGCCGUGCCUCUGUAGCCUUCAGGGACUAAGGUUGCUCAACGCCUCCUUCUCUGCUAGGACCUAUUAGUCAGAAGCAGAGGUGCUCCCUGCCUCCAACAGCUAAGCUCUGAUGGCCUAAAUGUCACCCCAGUCUCUGUGCAUAGCAAGGUCUUUAAGUUCCCUAAAUUAGGGCACCUGGGUCCUCCUUGAAGGCCCAGCGCUCUCCCUUCACCUGGUAGAGGAGCAAACAAGCAAGAGACUCUAAGCCCCUAAGACCAUCAGAACUUUGUUUUCUGAAGCUCCAGUGCCCUAUGCACCCCCAAAGUUCCUUCCCUAUGUUUCUGUAGUGAUCAGGCUAUAACACCUUGCAGAAGGAGUGUGCUUCUCAGAUGCUGUAAGAACACUUUUUUUUUUUUUUUUUUUUUUUUUUUUGAAAGAACACUUUGUACAAUCCCUGAGCUGGGCCUGAAGCAACACUAACAAUAACAAACAGCAAUGAGCUGGAGCUGCAGAGCUGGGAUCCAGAUGUGUACCUGAACUUCCCUAAAAUUUAAGGGUCUUUAAGUCUGGCAUGGGUUAAUCUCCAUAAAAAACGUGAAGAUGAAGGGGAAGAAAAGGGAAAAAUGCAAGCAGAAUACAGUUAACAAGACACAUGGGAGGAUGUCGCCUUCUCUGUGUGCUUGGUAACUGCAGCCUCUUGAAGGUGUGUCCCCAGCUUCUGCACAGCCAGGAGCUGUCAUUAGCCAGAAAUAAAAGGAUUUCUGCUCACUCACACUGGUGAAAGUAAAGCAAUCUGUUUUGAAAAACAGCUUUAAAGCACACAUUGCCACUUUUGAUUAUAAAAAUCCUAGAGGAAUGUGGGCUUUGCUUUAAAUCAUGUACUUUUUUUUUUCACUUUCUCACUGUACGUUUACUUUUACACAGGUACUUUUCUAGCACACGCCUUUAGAAACAUCCAUGAAAACUGUGUCCCAUUUUUCCACUUUCAUUGCUUCUAAAGGUCAAAAGUCUCUCAUCUGAGGCUUUGGAGGAAAAGAAACCUCUCAGUUCCUGGGCUUUCUCUCUGGAGAGAGUCGUCAUUUCCAGGGAAGGGCCGGUGCCUCCCCUCUGGGACAGGAAGCGGCCACAGGAGCACUGUCAUCACUGAAAGUUUUCUUUCAUGCGGAAAUAUUAUUUACACAUGCCACGUCCAAAAGACAACAGUGGCAAGGAGGACUGGCAAGCAACUCUGCUUUAAAUAACCAUUUUCUAAGGCAGGGAGGAGCAUUUUUGUGGCCGUUUCCGUAACAAAGUGUUCCACUCGCUUCUGGCCUAGCUAUGCAGCAUCGUGCUCGUGCAUUCCUAACAGCAGCCUUCCCUUCCCUUCCCUGUCCGCCUUUUGUCAACAAAUAUGUAAGAAAAGAAUUUCACCAUGUCAGGAAUUUUAUGCUUUUGAAACAGAGCUCGCACACUUGACACGACCCAGCCCCCGGACGGAGCUGAGCUGCUGCCCAGAUGGGAGGUCAGUCAUGAUUUUUUACAGAUGUUUGGGAACAAAUCAGUGCUUAAAAGAAAAAAAAAAAAAAAAUAAGAGUCUCCAGACAGUUCAGAGUCACGAUAAAUAAUUUAGAGAGUGAUUAGAGAAAUCAUGUGAAAGAGCUUUAAGGCUGGAUCUUUCGGCUCCCUGAUGGGGAUACAUUUAAAUUAAACAGCCAGUAAAUAACAAACCAAAGACCAUCAUGCCACUGGAUAGUGAAAGCUGUUAAAGAGCUGGAUUGAAAUGAUGAGUGGAUAUCGAGUGCUUUCAGUCAUUUCCCUCAUCCAUCCUUGGGUGAUGAGGGAAAAAAAAAAAAAAAAAAAAAGGAAAAGCAGUAAAGAAUGAGUAGAGCUCUGACAUUGUUCAUCUCCUCUUUCCUGGUGCAGAAGUCGCCAGAGAUGAAGGAACAGAAGGAAAGCAGAAAUUAUUCAUUUCCUCCCCUCCCUCCCCCUGGAGAAAGAAGGAAUAGGACAGUCACAUAGGCAGGAUGCAAGUCUCCGUCACAGGGAAUGCAGAAUGGUCCUGGUCUGUCAGAGUAAAAACCUGCAAGAGCAGAGGGAUGCCCUCCAUAAAUUAUGUAUUUUGCCUGGUCUUUGUUAGCUUGCAUUAUUUAAUAUUUUAAACAAUUACAAAAAGCCCUGACAACAACUCUUUCAAAUAUACUGUGGCAACUGAACUACUUAAAGACCUGUUUCUCCUCCAAAGUUUCUUUGGGGCACAAAUUAAUUUCUGACCCAAUUUUCAAAUACUUCUAAGUGAAGACUGGAGGGAGAAGAGGCUACCCAUCUGCCAAAGGACUAAGGGAAGGGGUGAGUUAACCUAGACAGAACUAAAAGUUCAAGGUAACCUGUACCUUAUGGAUGGGAAGGUUAAACAACAAACACUCUGGACUUAAUAUUACUUGGCAAAAUUCCUAAGAUUGUAUAUAAUUGCCCAUACACCUUUUGUGACAUCCAGGCAGACUACUGGCAGAGCAGUAGAUUCCUCACCUUCCUUCAGGAGGACAGAGGACAGUCUGCUUCAUGAAGGACACAUUUCUCCUCUGCACUGUGAAACAAGCCCACUGCUCACAUCAGCAGGGACGGUGCAUCAUUAAGGACGCUAGAUUAGGCUCAAUGCAUAAGAAGUUUCUUGCUGCCUCUGCAAAGGCAAAUGCACACCAGUAGUAAGAGUAGGUGAUGCUCAAUAACCAGGAAAAACUCUCUCUGUCCAUCUGUAUUAAAGCUACUGAGUGAUGCCUGACUACAAAGGACACCAGCUGCAUCCUGGUGACUAAAGCUAAAUUUGGCAAUGGGGCACCAGAGCAGUGUUUAUGGAAUCUGAGGCAGGAUAUAGACUGUAAACAUUGUUUCCCUGAGAUCUUGCUAUGCAUUGCUCAAAAUUAUUUUCAAAGACAACUCAUUAACCCUCCGCCCACUCUUCUCUGAGGUUGGAUAUGAUGUUUAACAGAAAAAUAACAGUCUUCUCUGACUGGAGGCCAGGGCCUAGGCUCCUUCUUUCCCUUUCUUCAAGAUAUUUCCUUAACAGUACAAAUAUUCUGGGGAAUGUCCUGAGCCAAACUAUGCUUUUGUAAUAUCAAUUAUCUGCAUACAUAUGCUGCAUAGGACAGAGCCUUGUUAAUUAAGAAAUUUUCUCGGACUGCCUAUUUCACCAGGUAAGCAACUAGCAGAUAAAGAAAAGCAAUGUUCAUCCAACCCCUGCUAACUCACAUGCUCCUUAACUUUGACUGCUUGUGGUUGCUUUAGGGGCUAGGAGGAGAACACAUACCACAUCUCUGCCAAUGUCAAGUCUAAGUUACUUGCAGGCAGAAGGAUGAGCUUUCUCCCCUUUGGUAACAAGUGGUAACACCAGCAACAGCAGAAGCAGUAAAGCCUUGUUCCCAUGAUUGAAGUACUCAGCUGAGCUCUGUGUGGGAUUUCUAGCAAAGAAUGAACUUGCAGCCCAGCUUCCUCCUCACUGGAAGCAGGAGGAACAGCUCUCACAGGAGAUUUCCUCAGAGCUCGUGGAUUUGCUGUCCUCAUGGGGACAGCUUGGAACGGCCUGGCACAGCUACCCACACAUAGCAAUUGCCUGAACCUUGUGUCCUCACUCAGUCAACCUUCUUCUUGCUGAGGCCAAUUUGAAGACUAAAGGGUUUAAACCACAGACACUGGCAGGAACUACAGAAGUCAGAAAACCUUAGCACUUUUCCAUGUUUCAUUAGCACCUGUCCUCCCAGUGGCUCUUCACUUCAGGAAAUUAUGCUUAUUUUGUGGACAAGGAAACCAAGGCACAGCUUUUCAAAGAGACUUGUCAAAGAUCAGACACAGCCCCAGAUGUACCUGUUGCAGGUGUGCUCCUGCCCCAGGUGUAGUUGACCAACCAGGCUAAGGUCUCCGUCACAGCCACUGGGCCGUGGCAUGGGGAGGUCACAUCGGGGACCCAGUGCAUAGGGCC
rnacentral:lncRNA from 1 species